AUUGAACGCUGGCGGCAGGCUUAACACAUGCAAGUCGAGCGGGGGAAGGUAGCUUGCUACCGGACCUAGCGGCGGACGGGUGAGUAAUGCUUAGGAAUCUGCCUAUUAGUGGGGGACAACAUCUCGAAAGGGAUGCUAAUACCGCAUACGUCCUACGGGAGAAAGCAGGGGAUCUUCGGACCUUGCGCUAAUAGAUGAGCCUAAGUAGGAUUAGCUAGUUGGUAGGGUACAGGCCUACCAAGUCGACGAACUGUAGAUGGUCUGAGAGGAUGAUCCGCCACACUGUGACUGAGACACGGCCCAGACUCCUACGGGAGGCAGCAGUGGGGAAUAUUGGACAAUGGGGGGAACCCUGAUCCAGCCAUGCCGCGUGUGUGAAGAAGGCCUUAUGGUUGUAAAGCACCUCAAGCGAGGAGGAGGCUACUUUAGUUAAUACCUAGAGAUAGUGCACGUUACUCGCAGAAUAAGCACCGGCUAACUCUGUGCCAGCCGCCGCGGUAA
rnacentral:rRNA from 1 species